UGGGGAAUAUUGCACAAUGGGCGCAAGCCUGAUGCAGCCAUGCCGCGUGUGUGAAGAAGGCCGUCGGGUUGUAAAGCACUUUCAGCGGGGAGGAAGGCGAUAAGGUUAAUAACCUCAUCGAUUGACGUUACCCGCAGAAGAAGCACCGGCUAACUCCGUGCCAGCAGCCGCGGUAAUACGGAGGGUGCAAGCGUUAAUCGGAAUUACUGGGCGUAAAGCGCACGCAGGCGGUCUGUCAAGUCGGAUGUGAAAUCCCCGGGCUCAACCUGGGAACUGCAUUCGAAACUGGCAGGCUAGAGUCUUGUAGAGGGGGGUAGAAUUCCAGGUGUAGCGGUGAAAUGCGUAGAGAUCUGGAGGAAUACCGGUGGCGAAGGCGGCCCCCUGGACAAAGACUGACGCUCAGGUGCGAAAGCGUGGGGAGCAAACAGG
rnacentral:rRNA from 1 species